rnacentral:SRP_RNA from 1 species
ACAUUUAGUUGGUCAGAUUAUAGAAUACAAGAGCCGGCCUUCGUAAGUGGCGUUGAGAUUUGGGUCUUGCGCGACGGAUGCUUACGAAUCGUGUCAGGUCAGGAAUGGAGCAGCACUAAGUUUGAUUUUCCGGGUGCCGCGAGGUCGCCUGGGUUGAGCUAACUGCGAGGGUAUCGGCUUUUAAAUGU